rnacentral:rRNA from 1 species
GACGAACGCUGGCGGCGCGCCUAACACAUGCAAGUCGAACGAGAGAUGAGGAGCUUGCUUCCUCAAUCGAGUGGCGAACGGGUGAGUAACGCGUGAGGAACCUGCCUCAAAGAGGGGGACAACAGUUGGAAACGACUGCUAAUACCGCAUAAGCCCACAGCUCGGCAUCGAGCAGAGGGAAAAGGAGCAAUCCGCUUUGAGAUGGCCUCGCGUCCGAUUAGCUAGUUGGUGAGGUAACGGCCCACCAAGGCGACGAUCGGUAGCCGGACUGAGAGGUUGAACGGCCACAUUGGGACUGAGACACGGCCCAGACUCCUACGGGAGGCAGCAGUGGGGAAUAUUGCACAAUGGGGGAAACCCUGAUGCAGCGACGCCGCGUGGAGGAAGAAGGUCUUCGGAUUGUAAACUCCUGUUGUUGAGGAAGAUAAUGACGGUACUCAACAAGGAAGUGACGGC